rnacentral:rRNA from 1 species
UUUUAUUUGAGAGUUUGAUCCUGGCUCAGGAUGAACGCUGGCGGCGUGCCUAACACAUGCAAGUUGAGCGAUUUACUUCGGUAAAGAGCGGCGGACGGGUGAGUAACGCGUGGGUAACCUACCCUGUACACACGGAUAACAUACCGAAAGGUAUGCUAAUACGGGAUAAUAUAUUUGAGAGGCAUCUCUUGAAUAUCAAAGGUGAGCCAGUACAGGAUGGACCCGCGUCUGAUUAGCUAGUGGGUAAGGUAACGGCUUACCAAGGCGACGAUCAGUAGCCGACCUGAGCGGGUGAUCGGCCACAUUGGAACUGAGACACGGUCCAAACUCCUACGGGAGGCAGCAGUGGGGAAUAUUGCACAAUGGGCGAAAGCCUGAUGCAGCAACGCCGCGUGAGUGAUGAAGGACUUCGGGUC